rnacentral:rRNA from 1 species
GAUGAACGCUAGCGGCAGGCUUAAUACAUGCAAGUCGUGGGGCAGCAUGACUGUAGCAAUACAGUUGAUGGCGACCGGCAAACGGGUGCGGAACACGUACACAACCUUCCUUUAAGUGGGGAAUAGCCCAGAGAAAUUUGGAUUAAUACCCCGUAACAUAUAGAAGUGGCAUCGCUUUUAUAUUAUAGCAGUAAUGCGCUUGAAGAUGGGUGUGCGGCUGAUUAGAUAGUUGGCGGGGUAAUGGCCCACCAAGUCGACGAUCAGUAACUGGUGUGAGAGCACCACCAGUCAAACGGGGACUGAGACACGGGCCCGAUUCCGACGGGAGGCAGCAGUAAGGAAUAUUGGUCAAUGGACGCAAGUCUGACCCAGCCAUGCCGCGUGGAGGAUGAAGGUCCUCUGGAUUGUAAACUUCUUUUAUUUGGGAAGAAAUCUACCUUUUCUUGGGUAGUUGACGGUACCAGAUGAAUAAGCACCGGCUAACUCCGUGCCAGCCGCCGCGGUAACAC